rnacentral:rRNA from 1 species
UACGUAGGGUGCAAGCGUUGUUCGGAAUCAUUGGGCGUAAAGCGCGUGUAGGCGGGCGUGCAAGUCUGCUGUGAAAGCUCCUGGCUUAACCGGGAGUGGUCGGUGGAAACUGCACACCUGGAGGACGGUAGAGGUAGGUAGAAUUCCCGGUGUAGUGGUGAAAUGCGUAGAGAUCGGGAGGAAUACCUGUGGCGAAGGCGGCCUACUGGGCCGGACCUGACGCUGAGGAGCGAAAGCGUGGGGAGCGAACAGG